ACAGAGAAACCCUGUCUUGAAAAACCAAAAAAAAAAAAAAAAAAAAAAAAAAAAAUUCUCCAAAAGAAUCUGCUGGUCUUGAUUCAUUGUUAGAGGCCUCCAGUGUCCCUCUUAGUGCCCAGAUCAGAAACAUGU